AUACGGAGGAUGCGAGCGUUAUCCGGAUUUAUUGGGUUUAAAGGGAGCGUAGGCGGGAGCUUAAGUCAGCGGUUAAAUGGUGCGGCUCAACCGUGCCCUGCCGUUGAAACUGGGUUUCUUGAGAGUGCAAGAGGCGGAUGGAAUUCAUGGUGUAGCGGUGAAAUGCUUAGAUAUCAUGAAGAACUCCGAUUGCGAAGGCAGUCCGCUGGGGCACGUCUGACGCUGAUGCUCGAAGGUGCGGGAAUCAAACAGGAUUAGAUACCCUGGUAGUCCGCACGGUAAACGAUGAUUACCCGCUGUCGGCGGCAGACAGUCGGCGGCCAAGCGAAAGCGAUAAGUAAUCCACCUGGGGAGUACGCCGGCAACGGUGAAACUCAAAUGAAUUGGCGGGG
rnacentral:rRNA from 1 species